AUGCGCAUUUCAGAUCUCACCUUUGGAAAGAGGGAAAAAAAAAAAAAACCUUUCUCUCUGCAACAGGUGCCUGUGAUUUCCUUGGAAACUGGACGUAUUGAAGAACCAAAGGGAGAUGCCUUCUUUUGGGAUCCCCGCUGCAAAUGCUGUGCAUGUGUGGGGGCAGGCUUCAUGCCCAGAGGAAAUCAAGGAACCCGACACCAGCUGCUGGAGCCCGUGGACCCAAGUAGUGAACCACUGAAUGAAUCCAAUCCUCUUGGAUGUUGCGUGGAAAAGGUAAGGGUGGGGCUGAUGCUACCAGUUUGUGAAAAGAGCCUAAGUGUCUUGAUACUUUUACGUUCAUUGGGUGUUUCUGCCCCAUCACCUUCUACCCACUUGGGGAGGUGAAGAUGACCUCUGAAGACAGACGUUCUGGCAGCAGAGGAAAGAUACAGGGAGGCAGAGAACGUGAGCUAAAUCACAGAGAGCAGCUGGUUUCCACGCAUUCCUGCUCCCCUCUCGGCCGGGCUCAAGGCUGCUCUGUCUCGUUCCCGUGGUUAGAGAGUGGAAAUUUCAGAUGUGUCUACCCCUGAUCCCGAGACUAUGGGCCCUGGGUACCACCCAAGGGCCUCCUCCCCUUUUCUAGACUCAGGAUCACUGAAGCCUGAAAGCCCUUGGUGAAUUCAUACCUCCUAUUAUAAAAGGGCUUUUAGCUCAGGUUUUAACAUUUUAAUUGGCACAGUUUAUUGUAGCCUAGGAGGUCAGCAAGAUUUCAAGAGGAGAGAGAUGACUUCAUUACUCAAUUACAAUGCACACAAUCGUAAGGGAGUUCUUGACUUUGUGCACAGUUACUACAAGCAAAGAAUUUAAUUCCACCGACACACAGCUCACGAUCAAGGUAUAGCUUUGGAGCUGAGGAACAGAUGGUAUGGAGAGAGAGACAUUUCAGUACGGAAAUAAGCUUUGAGAUGUGUAUAUACAAACACACAAAUAUAUAUACACAACACUCCUCACCCAUGUAUACUGUACAGAUUGGCACAACCCUAUUAAGAACACACGAUGAUAGAAAGGUUUUAGGCCUUAAGUUGUCUUGGCAUUUUAAUCUAGACGAAUGCUCAGGUAAUUGGGGUCUUAACUGGAUCACUCAUAUAUUUUAAUGGUGUUUUUGAAAAGGCCAGAUCAACUUUCCUUCAGCAGUCACCCCAUAUGACACACUAGUUACCAAAGGGAAAACGAGACUGCUAUUUUGUAUUAAUUCAGUAAAGGGUAUUUUAGAGCAAGGACAACUUGGAAAAUAAAGACUUCAGAGUCGAUGAUUCCAAGCUAAGAGCAUUUUAGUGAUUAGCAGUGGUUACCAAAUAAGCCGAAGGUAAAUCUUUUUAAGGAGCUGCUCACAAUUUGCUUUGUUGGGACGUGGGGCGGGACUGCUUGACUUCUCCUCUAUAAGAUGAUGCAGGUUUUCUUAUCCUUGAAAGGGUUUUCUGAAGUUGGUAUCCCCAUCAGCAGAGGGUCAUUUCUGGCAUGUUCCUCGCAGUAGGACAUGAGGUCCGCUGAUGCCUUGGAAACCUGGUAUGUAGGCAAGUCAAAGAAAACAAAGAAAAUACUUUAUCUGCAAGCUUUAAAGCUAUCUGAAUACUCACCCAUUGGGUGGAAGACUUGGGGAACAGGCUAACCAGUGUCUCGAAGUAUCACUCCCAGAUUACCUGCUACUUUAAAAGGGAAAAGGUGGGGAGUUCCCUGGUGGUAUGAUGGUUAGGACUCAGUGCUUUCACUGCCUUGGUCCCGGUUCAGUCCCUGUUCUGGGAACAAAGGUCCCAGGUGAAGCCGCUGUGUACCAUGCCCACCCCUGUGCCCAAACAAAAGGAAAAGGUACUUUAAAUGGACAUUUCUGAUAAGGUCUCCUUCACCAAGUGAUCAAACUGACAUCAGCUGUCUCCCAGGGUGAGUGUGGAACACAUACCGCCAGCUAGCUAGUACUCCCAUCAAAACAUCUAGCCAGAUUCUGACUGUGGGCAAACCAUCCCAUCUAAAGAGCGGGCCACUCUGCAAAGUGAGUGACCGGGAUUCUUCAGAGCUGGACUGUGUGUUACAUACCAUUAGCAGCUGAUGCUCAGUGUGCCAAUUGUACUGUGGUUAGGUAGCAGAAUGUCUCGGUGAAGUAGCAGGGUAAUGAGUCAUAAUGCCUGGAAAUCACUUUUGAGUAGUUUCAAGAAAAAAUUACACGAGUAUGUGUGUAGAGACAGAGACAGGAAAUGUGGGAAAAGACUAACAAAUGGUGAAUCUUGGUAAAGAGUAGGUGGGAGUUUGUUGUUAUAGCUCUUCCAGAGGUUUGACAUUUUUCAAAAAUAAAAAAAUCAGGGGAGGGGAAGAAGCCAAGCACCUGUGAUUCAAAGGCAGGCUGUAUCUUGGUUUCUGUGGAAUAAAAAAUUGAUCAGAAUGCAGCAACAGAGUUAGAACCAAAUUAUGGUCUCGGAGCCAAAACUCUGAAAGAACAAGAGCCAAGGUCUAGGGACUUGCAAGACUUGGCUUGGGGAGAUAAAAAGAGGGACAAAAGCAGCAUGGGAACAGGCAUGCGUUAAAAAUGGACAUGCCAUGUCCUGGUCAGCAGUCUGGGUAGGAGACCCUCAGAACAAUUGGAUCAUGGUCCUUGGGCCAGGGGCUCGGGGCCGCCAAGCCCUUGACAGACAGAGCGCGGGAAGCCUCCUGUUUUGAAGACAAAGUGACUAUCUCCCGGCCCAGAGGAAUUUAUCAGGUGACUGCUUCGGUAUCGAGGAAACAGCAUGACUCACAACAUUCCAAGGUAUUCCAACAUUGCUGCCUCGCUGUCUCUUGGGAUUUGGGGGGAAAAGCCUUCCAAGUCAGGUGACCCUACCAAUGCCUUCUGGGUUCUUCCAGAUCUCAACUAAGGCUGGCAAUGGGCACCCUGGGUGCAGAAGGUGGUCACAGAAUUCCACACCCACUCAAAGAGCGGCCGUCUCCUAAACGGGAGACCUGGUUGCUGCACCAUCUGCCUUGCCUGGGUGAUGUUGUUAGGGCCGUGGCUGCACUGAUAAUGCUAGAACACUUCAGACAUUCCAGAGGGAUGACCAGGGUAUUAACAAAGUCCACCUGGAACCCCCGUCUAGACGGAGAACAUGGCAAGCAGAGGGCUUGACCAUGUGCAUUCAGGGAAGGCAGGUCCUCAAGAAAUCCUGUCACGGGUUUUAGGUUUUCUGUCCAAACAGAGGCGAACUCAGACCGGCUCAGCCGAGCUUCUGCCGUGGGGCUUGUGCUAUUAGAAAUCAAAGUUUAAGACUCUUGCUCAAGGAGAAUCCUGGCACUUGGCUGAACUAAAGGGCACCCACCACCUUCUCUGAAAUGGGGCCUCGCCGUGGGUGAGCAGAGGGAGCUGGUCUGAAAACGUGUCGGAUCCACUGGAGGCUCCUACCUUUAUUCUUUCAAUGGAAGCUUCCAUCCUUAGCUGCUGCACCGUCCUCCUUGCCUGCGCGAUGUUGUUGGUGCUGGCUGUUUUGCUUGACAUCUUCGCUGAGGGUUUUCACCUGAAAUACGAAGAAAAACAAAUUUUUUUCAGGGUGAAGAACAGUCAUCUUUAAGCUGUUUCAACAUUCAUCAUGCUUUGUGUUACUUGAGGGGAAAAGGAUGCAUUGCCAGUCGCCACAGCCUCUGGGAGGCAGUUCCUACAAAGCCCCUCAGCAACUGGAGGGCUGGCCUGGGUCUCGAAGCCUGCAAUCCUUUUGAGCACUUUCUGCAGAAACCCCGUACUUGUGGUUCCAUCCACGCACCCCCACAUACAGCAUAAAGUUGCCUUUCCUAGGAUUUUCUUAGGGGAAAUAAACACACACAAACGGCCGUGGUACUUAGGAGGCCUCCGGCACACAGGAGCACGUGCAACUGGAGGCUGCGUCCCGUGUGCAGGUUAACAGGACCGCCCUGUAUGUUAAGAGGAGCUGUGACUGCACUUCGUCUUGGCUCGCUUACCCAACUAUUACACCGAUGCAAGUCCUGGCACCAGAGAACAGCCAAAGAGUGCUUCUGGAGACCUUUGCACAAAGGGUGCAUUCUGAGGUGCUAUCAAGACCUGCAAUCGUUUGCAGAAUGUUAGUUGGGCAGAUAAGGGUGUCUUUAUGCCAGAAAAAGUGGGACCCUUUCAGCUGAAAGACUCUCAAUGACAGAGCCACAGCAAAUGUCAAAUGGGAUAGCGCCUCGAGCCUGAAAUAUUUAGUGAAACUUUAUCAGUCCCCG
rnacentral:lncRNA from 9 species